UACCAGCUCUCCGAGUGGUGUGGAUGUUUAUUGGGCCUAAAGCAUCCGUAGCUGGCUGGACAAGUCCCCUGUUAAAUCCACCGAUUUAAUCGUUGGAAUGCGGGGGAUACUGUUCGGCUAGGGGACGGGAGAGGCAGACGGUAUUUCCGGGGUAGGGGUGAAAUCCUAUAAUCCCGGGAAGACCACCAGUGGCGAAGGCUGUCUGCUAGAACGCGCCCGACGGUGAGGGAUGAAAGCGUGGGGGAGCGAACCGGAUUAGAUACCCGGGUAGUCCCAGCUGUAAACGAUGCAGGCUAGGCGUUUGGACGGCCACGUGCCGUUCUAGUGCCGCGAGGGAAGCCGUUAAGCCUGCCGCCUGGGGAGUACGGCCGCAAGGCUAGAAACUUAAAGGAAUUGGGCGGGGAGCACCACAAGGCGUGAAGCUUGCGGUUC
rnacentral:rRNA from 1 species